rnacentral:tRNA from 5 species
GGGGCUAUAGCGCAGCUGGUAGCGCAUCUCCAUGGCAUGGAGAGGGUCAGGGGUUCGAAUCCCCUUAGCUCCACAA